CAUUAUACAGUAAUGGAAUGCCUUGAUUGGGGACAUGAGAGAGACCAGACUGAGGUUUUAUGAAGGUAAUUCUGCAGCGAUAUGGAAGACUCAUCAGGAAAUGGUCAGAUGCUAAUGGCAGGAAAACUCAACAGCAACUUACUGACCAACAAAGAGAAAGAAUGAGGACCUCAGUCACAGAGAGGAGAUCACUCACUCUAGUAGAAGCCAGUUGCAGUGUCAUGAAUGCAUUCAAGGUCCUCAUAGCAAGAAACUGAAGCCUCCUGCCAAUGCCUUGUGAGUGAUACAUUGAAAGGGAAUCCUUUAGCCCCAGUCAAGCCUUCAGAUGACUGCAGCCCCAGCCACCAUUCCAACUGCAACCUGAACCAGAGCGACUCAACCAAGCUGCUCCUUCCUGACCCACAAAAAUGUUGCUGAGAUACUUUCUUCAUUUCUAGCAGUUGCAUCAGGAGAGGACAAGAAUAUAAACUGAG